rnacentral:rRNA from 1 species
UUGGCGACGGGUGAGUAUGCAUAGGAAUCUACCUAGUAGUAUGGGAUAGCCACUAGAAAUGGUGGGUAAUACUGUACAAUCCCUGCGGGGGAAAGAUUUAUCGCUAUUAGAUGAGCCUAUGUUAGAUUAGCUAGUUGGUAGGGUAAAGGCCUACCAAGGCAGUGAUCUAUAGCUGGUCUGAGAGGAUGAUCAGCCACACUGGAACUGAGAUACGGUCCAGACUCCUACGGGAGGCAGCAGUGGGGAAUAUUGGACAAUGGGCGCAAGCCUGAUCCAGCUAUGCCGCGUGAGUGAGGAAGGCCUUAGGGUUGUAAAACUCUUUCAGUGGGGAAGAUAAUGACGGUACCCACAGAAGAAGUCCGGGGCAAACUCUAA